UUCGCCCUUAGAGUUUGAUCCUGGCUCAGAGCGAACGCUGGCGGCAGGCUUAACACAUGCAAGUCGAGCGGGCCCUUCGGGGUCAGCGGCAGACGGGUGAGUAACGCGUGGGAACGUGCCCUUCGGUUCGGAAUAACUCAGGGAAACUUGAGCUAAUACCGGAUACGCCCUUAUGGGGAAAGGCUUGACUGCCGAAGGAUCGGCCCGCGUCUGAUUAGCUGGUUGGUGAGGUUAUGGCUCACCAAGGCGACGAUCAGUAGCUGGUCUGAGAGGAUGAUCAGCCACACUGGGACUGAGACACGGCCCAGACUCCUACGGGAGGCAGCAGAAGGG
rnacentral:rRNA from 1 species